CACCAGAUGAAACUAGAUACAAGCGAGCGGCGGACGGGUGAGUAACACGUGGGUAACCUGCCCAAGAGACUGGGAUAACACUUGGAAACAGAUGCUAAUACCGGAUAACAACACUAGACGCAUGUCUAGAGUUUAAAAGAUGGUUCUGCUAUCACUCUUGGAUGGACCUGCGGUGCAUUAGCUAGUUGGUAAGGUAACGGCUUACCAAGGCAAUGAUGCAUAGCCGAGUUGAGAGACUGAUCGGCCACAUUGGGACUGAGACACGGCCCAAACUCCUACGGGAGGCAGCAGUAGGGAAUCUUCCACAAUGGACGCAAGUCUGAUGGAGCAACGCCGCGUGAGUGAAGAAGGGUUUCGGCUCGUAAAGCUCUGUUGGUAGUGAAGAAAGAUAGAGGUAGUAACUGGCCUUUAUUUGACGGUAAUUACUUAGAAAGUCACGGCUAACUACGUGCCAGCAGCCGCGGUAAUACGUAGGUGGCAAGCGUUGUCCGGAUUUAUUGGGCGUAAAGCGAGUGCAGGCGGUUCAAUAAGUCUGAUGUGAAAGCCUUCGGCUCAACCGGAGAAUUGCAUCAGAAACUGUUGAACUUGAGUGCAGAAGAGGAGAGUGGAACUCCAUGUGUAGCGGUGGAAUGCGUAGAUAUAUGGAAGAACACCAGUGGCGAA
rnacentral:rRNA from 1 species